rnacentral:lncRNA from 1 species
UAAAAUAACCCAAAUUUAAUAUUGUGCUUGAUUUUUUUAAGGAAAUAAAUUUAUUAUGGUUAAAUGUAUAGAGAUUAACCAUGAUAUUUAUUUUGGCCUAUCACUAGAUUUAGCUUCCAAAUAAGAAUUUUGGUCGUUACAAUAACUAAUGAAUCAGCCGGACAGAAACCUAAUUUAGUUAAUUAGAGAUCCCAUGGUCUAAGUUCAAUAAACAAACCGGUUGGGCAUGAUUCAAGGAAGUUAAUACACUAUAUAUCUCAUUCCUAUGACGGAAGAAGUGUGUUGUCUGCAGAAGUUUUAGAGUGUAUAUUUAUACUUAAUGACAGUGAUAUCUUAUAAAUAAGAAAAAUGCAACAGACUAUUUUUAAUCAGUGGUCACCUAUGUGAGAGUAAAAGUGGGUCGCUUCUAUGAGAAUGAGAUGGCUAAAUUCUCUAAAGCUCUCAUGAAUAUGAGAUUUGUUUAGGACCAAAAUGAACACAAACGUAUGAACCAUAAUAUAUUAAGAUUAGUGAUGUGUGUUGCUUAUUGUCUUGGUUUACUAAUGCAGUGAACAGUUCAAGAUCAUCUACAUCCAUCGCAUCACCAAGUAAGUCCGAUAAGUAUUCACUAGGGUAGGUUCAAGUCCAAAAGACACCUCUCCCGAUGCAACAGUUUUUGGUUUGAAAUAUUGCAUAUUUUCUAGGUUAUAUCUUCUCAUCAAACAGUGCAAUGGGUUCUACAUAAACCCAAAGACACUAAGACGUGCAAAUAGAGAUUAGUGAGUCAAUUUUAUUCUUGAGAAAUAGAGUUUUCCCCCUCUGUUUCUCUCAUUCUUUGUUGUUCUAUUCCAAGUCAUGUCUUGAGAGUACAGCAUAUAUAAAGUUUGCCAGAGUCCAAAGAUUGAAGUGCUUUGACUUCAGAUUAUAGAUUAUUGAAUCCUAUGAGACAAAAGCCUACAGAAUUACAAGCACAAAAGUAAGGGUGAAAUUCUAUCUUUAGGACAUUGCAUUUAUGCAAGCCUCAAUCUCCAAAUUUGUCAGUAUUUCUUACUUUCUAUCUAGUUGUUUAUAUUAAUCUUGUUUACAAUUAUUGUUGUAAUUUUCUUUAUAAUUAUUAUUAUUGAAAUUCUUUUGUUAUUCUCAUAUUUUCUCAUAUUGCUCCACACAAGAAUUCCAUUUAGCCCAACAUGGGCAUUUUUGUCUUAUUACAAAUUUAAAAAAAAAUUACACUGUAAAUAUAAACACGUCGUAUCAAAUACGAAAUAUUAAAUAGUGAAAUCCAGGA